rnacentral:rRNA from 1 species
UACGGAAGGCAGCAGUGGGGAAUAUUGCACAAUGGGCGAAAGCCUGAUGCAGCUAUGCCGCGUGUAUGAAGAAGGCCUUAGGGUUGUAAAGUACUUUCAUCGGGGAGGAAAAAACAAAACUAAUAAUUUUAUUUCUUGACGUUACCCGAAAAAGAAGCACCGGCUAACUCCGUGCCAGCAGCCGCGGUAAUACGGAGGGUGCUAGCGUUAAUCAGAAUUACUGGGCGUAAAGAGCACGUAGGUGGUUUUUUUAAAGUCAGAUGUGAAAUCCCUGGGCUUAACCUAAGAACUGCAUUUUGAAACUGAAAUACUAGAGUAUCGUAGAGGGAGGUAGAAUUCUAGGUGUAGCGGUGAAAUGCGUAGAUAUCUGGAGGAAUACCUGUGGCGAAAGCGGCCUCCUAAACGAAUACUGACACUGAGGGUGCGAAAGCGUGGGGAGCAAACAGGGAUUAGAUACC